rnacentral:tRNA from 3 species
GUUAAGGUGGCAGAGCCCGGUAAUUGCGUAAAACUUAAACCUUUAUGAUCAGAGAUUCAAAUCCUCUCCUUAACA